UUAGUUCGCCAAGAAUUUGUCAUU
rnacentral:snRNA from 1 species